rnacentral:rRNA from 1 species
AGAGUUUGAUCCUGGCUCAGGACGAACGCUGGCGGCGUGCCUAAUACAUGCAAGUCGAGCGGACAGAAGGGAGCUUGCUCCCGGAUGUUAGCGGCGGACGGGUGAGUAACACGUGGGUAACCUGCCUGUAAGACUGGGAUAACUCCGGGAAACCGGAGCUAAUACCGGAUAGUUCCUUGAACCGCAUGGUUCAAGGAUGAAAGACGGUUUCGGCUGUCACUUACAGAUGGACCCGGGGCACAUUAGCUAGUUGGUGAGGUAACGCCUCACCAAGGCGACGAUGCGUAGCCGACCUGAGAGGGUGAUCGGCCACACUGGGACUGAGACACGGCCCAGACUCCUACGGGAGGCAGCAGUAGGGAAUCUUCCGCAAUGGACGAAAGUCUGACGGAGCAACGCCGCGUGAGUGAUGAAGGUUUUCGGAUCGUAAAGCUCUGUUGUUAGGGAAGAACAAGUGCAAGAGUAACUGCUUGCACCUUGACGGUACCUAACCAGAAAGCCACGGCUAACUACGUGCCAGCAGCCGCGGUAAUACGUAGGUGGCAAGCGUUGUCCGGAAUUAUUGGGCGUAAAGGGCUCGCAGGCGGUUUCUUAAGUCUGAUGUGAAAGCCCCCGGCUCAACCGGGGAGGGUCAUUGGAAACUGGGAAACUUGAGUGCAGAAGAGGAGAGUGGAAUUCCACGUGUAGCGGUGAAAUGCGUAGAGAUGUGGAGGAACACCAGUGGCGAAGGCGACUCUCUGGUCUGUAACUGACGCUGAGGAGCGAAAGCGUGGGGAGCGAACAGGAUUAGAUACCCUGGUAGUCCACGCCGUAAACGAUGAGUGCUAAGUGUUAGGGGGUUUCCGCCCCUUAGUGCUGCAGCUAACGCAUUAAGCACUCCGCCUGGGGAGUACGGUCGCAAGACUGAAACUCAAAGGAAUUGACGGGGGCCCGCACAAGCGGUGGAGCAUGUGGUUUAAUUCGAAGCAACGCGAAGAACCUUACCAGGUCUUGACAUCCUCUGACAACCCUAGAGAUAGGGCUUUCCCUUCGGGGACAGAGUGACAGGUGGUGCAUGGUUGUCGUCAGCUCGUGUCGUGAGAUGUUGGGUUAAGUCCCGCAACGAGCGCAACCCUUGAUCUUAGUUGCCAGCAUUCAGUUGGGCACUCUAAGGUGACUGCCGGUGACAAACCGGAGGAAGGUGGGGAUGACGUCAAAUCAUCAUGCCCCUUAUGACCUGGGCUACACACGUGCUACAAUGGACAGAACAAAGGGCUGCGAGACCGCAAGGUUUAGCCAAUCCCACAAAUCUGUUCUCAGUUCGGAUCGCAGUCUGCAACUCGACUGCGUGAAGCUGGAAUCGCUAGUAAUCGCGGAUCAGC